rnacentral:tRNA from 1 species
GGUAGCUCAGUGGUGGAAUGCUUGCCUAGCAUGCUCAAGAGGCCCUGGGUUCAAUCCCCAGUACCA